UUGACAGCCCUGGAAAUUGAACAUCUUUAUUUAUUGACAGCCUACGUACAGCAUACUUGCAGCAUAGACACUACAAGUUUCUUUCACUGCUGAGCCAACUUACUUUUUCCCUGGCCAGAAGGAACUACCUCUUCUGAAGGAAAUACAAUUUAUUGACUAUGUCCAGUUGGUCUCUGCAUUAU
ensembl:misc_RNA